AAGCAGGACUAGAAGGUAAGGUUGUUCUUCUUACAGUUUUCCUACCAUCUGACUUUUAAAAUUAUGUACGCAUUAUUUUAGAAGUAAAACAACUCAUAUUAAUUUUAAAAAAUCGUCCCCAGAAACCAGUCAUUUGUUUUCAGUUUGUUUUCAUUACAACUCUGAUUCAGCUGGGAUUUUUUUGUUCUACGUGGCGGUGCCAACAACUGGAACAGUGUCUUUCUCCUCCUAAACAGGUAACUAAUUCUUCCCAGCAUAAUUGAUUGAUUAGUCCUUAAUUUUUUUCCCAUGAUUUGUUAAUACUCUGUUAUUCAUACCAGGGUGUUUCCAUUAUUUGUCCUUGCUCCGGUGCCACACUGAUUUGAGCUACAGUAGAACGAGUUUACUGUGGUGAUACUCACUGCGGGGAGGGAUGUGCGAAAGCACGGAGCUUUAUAAAAGUAGGGGGUGCUCAGUGAAUGGAGGAAUCUGAGAGUAGAUGAAUAAUGAAUGUUGAAAGCGCAGUAAACAGCGUUAGUUAAAGCGAAACUCUGGCCACACAGUCUCUCGGGAGGAAACAACCUUCACAACUUGAAACCCGUAGUAGAGGCAGAGACACCACGCACGAACGAGAGACAACUGACGCCUGCGGCCCCCGCGGCGCUUUGCAAAGAGGGUCCGCACCUGCUCAGGGAGAUUGGCGGCGGCCCCGGGGGCGGGGCGCGGCGAACGUCACUUCCGGCUGCGGCCCGCCGGGUCCUCUCGCACGAUGACGACCAGCGUAGAGCCGCGGGGUCGGCGCCCGGGAGCCGGGGUAGGAGUAGUGGUGACAAGCUGCAGGCAUCCUCGCUGUGUCCUCCUGGGGAGGAGGAAAGGGUCGACUGGAGCCGGCACUUUCCAACUUCCCGGAGGCCACUUGGAGUUCGGCCGUGUGAGCUGCGCCUGCGCUGUCAGCUCCUCGCGGGACCUGACGCGGCUGGGAGUUGGUGGUGAAAGCUGGGAAGAGUGUGCUCAAAGGGAAACCUGGGAAGAAGCAGCUCUUCACCUAAAAAAUGUUCGCUUUGCCUCGGUUGUGAAUUCUUUCGUUGAGAAAGAGAAUUACCAUUAUGUCACUAUUUUAAUGAAAGGAGAGGUGGAUGUGACUCAUGAUUCAGAACCAAAGAAUGUAGAGCCUGAAAAAAAUGAAAGUUGGGAGUGGGUUCCUUGGGAAGAACUUCCUCCUCUGGACCAGCUUUUCUGGGGACUACGUUGUUUAAAGGAACAAAGCUACGAUCCAUUUAAAGAAGAUUUGGAUCAUCUGAAUGGCAGUGUGUGCCUUUGAGAAACCUACCAAGUUGGGAUUCCUGGUUCAGAUGCAUAUAUUACAGCAUGUUCACUCAUCCUCCAAAUGCUAAGCAGCCAGAAUGUUAAGCUCUGUCAGUAGAGGGCACUGCAGAGACCUACAGGAGGAACAGGCUUCCCGUCCUGGAUCCUGCGUUUCCCUCUUGCGGUGCCUGGUUGGUGUGCAGGACAUCAGUGGCAUCCCAGUUGGGUGACUUCCCAGCAAGUCUCCUGGGGACCCUAGUGGAUAAUUUCCUACUUGCCAACUCUGGUCAGUGACACCUCAUCUAACUUCUCUGCCAUCCAACAGGCCAGAGCUACACCUUUUCCACCCAGGGCUGAAUAUCAGCCUUGGGAUGCGGUGGGGAGGAGCCUCUUCUCAGUCAGUCCCUUCCUUGGGUAUUUGCCUCAUCCUACACAUAGUAGCUGCCCCCAUAUCUGUUAUUACUGCAUUUUAAAAAAUAUAGUUCUCUUUACCAUCUAGCAGUUAAUAUCUGGUUACUAACUUAGUAAUUCUUUAAAUUUUCCUUCAUAUUGCUGGUGUGGUUUCUGUCUCCUGACUGGACCAUGACUGAAUAUGAUACGGUAUAUCACAAUGAGAAAAAUGAGAAGAUACCAAGGAAAACUAAUGCACAGUGAGUUCCCAGUUGGUAUCUUAGAUAGUUAACAGUGAUGUUUACAAAAGCAUUUUUAAUAACAGGGACAGCCUUACAAUGAAAUGUUAAGCAUAAAAAAGCAUUAUCUAGAGUAUGUUUUUAGCAAUGUAAAAAAUACAGGGAAAAACAUGAAAUAUGUAAAAUAUUAAAAGUGAUUCC